UCGGUGUUCGGUACUCAUAUUGUGGCCCACUAAAUUCGAAUUCGUGUCGAAAAGUUUACAGUGGAGGGAGGGGGUAAAGCGCUCUCUAACAAAGACGACUACAUACCCGGACUCAAACCCGAGACCUCUGAGUAUGGAUGAUGGAGUCCAUCACAACCCUUGUUCGUCUCCUUUAGCUCUUUCUCUUCUGAAGACCUAAAAUAUAUCAGGUUUAAAGUUAAAAGUGCCAAAAGUUCUUUGAAAAACGACUAAAUCAACCAAAUCAAAUCUUAUUCAAACAAUCUUAGGUUUUGAUAAAAAUCUCCAACACUAUUGAACAAUUAGCUAAGGUAGGUUUUUAUUUUUGUAAACAAACAGAAAAAAAAAAGAACCGAAUAAUAUGAUGGUAAUAUUUCUAUAAUUCAAUCAAACUACAUCAAGAAAAUAAAGCACACACUGUGUGUGUGAGAGAGAGAUGAAAGACAACUUCUGAUCUAUCAGGUUGAGAUACCAUUAAUAAUCAGAACUUCACUUGCCAGGAAAGAAUAAUCACAGAUCUACACAGUCCUCAUUUCAUCAGCAGGGUCUUCAAAAAGAGCAGUGAACAGUCUCAAAAUAAAACAAAGAUCCAAAUUCACCUGUUAGAUUUUGAAAAAAUAAAAAUAAAAAUAAAAAACAGAUCGAUCUGACAAGAACAUUGUUUCAGUACUGAACUGAAAUACAGUAAAAAUAAAACAAGGUAAAUCCAUAUAUCUUGACAAAAACUGAACAAACCGUACUAUACUUCUGGGGUCUGAAUUUCUCCUUUUGCUUAGAGUGUCAGCCUUAAAAGAAAGUACUCUGGUUAGCAUAGGCACGACCAGACAUUUAUGAGUUCUGAAUUUUCUAUUAAAAUUUAUAGCUCGUUUAGUUACCUCAGCUCCAGUAAGUUAGGUAGUCGUUUAUUGCUAAUGCAGCAUCAUCAAGAUUCUCACCUCCAAAAAGGCCAUGGUCGUUAAUCAUCAUGCCUUUAUAAUAUGUGAAUCUUGAUGAUGCUACAUCUGCAAACAACAACUGCGUUGACCGUUCAACCAUCGACCCAGAAACCCUAUUUUAUCUGUAUCGCUUCAAUUUUAUGAAUGUCUUCAAGUGGACCAGAAAACCCUAUCCUUCAACCAUUAAAAAUGGUUAUCAUAAAUGCUUUACAUAGACAUAUUUAUAGGGGGGAAAUCUAAGUACAUCCAUAUCUUGGAACAAUGGAGUAACAAUUUUAGCUACAAUAGUGGACUAUCUAGCCACUAGAGAUUUCAUCAUUUUCAGAAUAAAAAUCAAACAUAAAGAAAACCUUAUUUCUUUGGAACGUUAAUGGUUCUUGCUCCACAAAAAGAUAAGUAAGGAGAAAAUUAACAUAUAAAUAACAGAUAAAACCAAAAGAAAAAAAAAAUUAAGACUCCAAAUUCUUUCCUUUCCUCUUGGGUUUUUAGAUAAGAUUUUUUUCACAGGUUCCAGCAUAUGUUGAGCAGAAAAGGAUAAGCUAAUUCAGUACACCAAGAAAUAGAUUAAAAUAUAUAAUUAAAUAACCUCAUAGAAACAUAUUUCAAGACUCCUUGUCAAAUAAGUAGAAAAAUAGCGGAAAAAUAGGAAAAUAAUUGCAUGAUAAAAGGGAAUUAACAAUAAUCCUAGAGUGAUCUCUAGGAAGAAUGGAGUCUGCAUAUUUCUUUAAGCUUGUUGUAUGUGAGAGAGUAAGAGAAGCAG
rnacentral:lncRNA from 1 species